GACGGGGGGGGCAAGUGUUAUUCGGAAUGACUGGGCGUAAAGGGCACGUAGGCAGUGAAUCAGGUUGAAAGUCAAAGACGCCAGCUCAACUGGCGGAAUGCUUUCAAAACCAAUUCACUCGAGUGGGAUAGAGGGGAGUGGAAUUUCGUGUGUAGGGAUAAAAUCCGGAGAUAUACGAAGGAACGCCGAAGUAGCGAAGGCAGCUUUCUGGGUCUCUACUGACGCUAGGGUGCGAAAGCUUGGGGAGCAAACAGG
rnacentral:rRNA from 2 species